rnacentral:tRNA from 1 species
CGAGAAGUAGUUUAUUGUUCAGAAUUUUGGCUUUGGGGGCUAAAGGCGGAAGUGAGAGUCUUUCUUUCUCGA